UACAGAGGGGGCAAGCGUUAUUCGGAAUUAUUGGGCGUAAAGGGCGCGUAGGCGGCCUGGCAAGUGGAAGGUGAAAUCCCUCGGCUUAACCGAGGAACUGCCUUCCAAACUGCUUGGCUUGAGUCCGGGAGAGGUGAGUGGAAUUCCCAGUGUAGCGGUGAAAUGCGUAGAUAUUGGGAGGAACACCAGUGGCGAAGGCGGCUCACUGGACCGGAACUGACGCUGAUGCGCGAAAGCUAGGGUAGCAAACAGG
rnacentral:rRNA from 1 species